rnacentral:rRNA from 1 species
UGCAUUGGAUUGAGAACAACGUACAAACCUUAUCGAUAAACAAUUGGAGGGCAAGUCUGGUGCCAGCAGCCGCGGUAAUUCCAGCUCCAAUAGCGUAUAUUAACGUUGUUGCAGUUAAAAAGCUCGUAGUUGAAAUGAAGGGUAGUUGUGUAAUGAAUACAUUCGUGUAUUUUGUUAUUCUACUACCCUCCUUCUAAAUUCGAUAUAUGAGUAUUAAUUUACUUGUAUAUGGUUUUAGACCUUUACUGUGAGAAAAUUAGAGUGUUCAAAGCAGGCAUUUGCUUGAAUAUAUUAGCAUGGAAUAAUCAUGUAUGAUUUUCAUGAUGUAUUUGAUUGGUUUGGUUCAUGAGAAUAAGAUUAAAAGGGACAGUUGGGGGUAUUCAUAUUCAAUAGUCAGAGGUGAAAUUCUCGGAUUUAUGGAAGAUGAACAAGUGCCAAAAG